AAUCAACGCUGGCGGCGCGCUUAACACAUGCAAGUCGCACGAGAAAGGGAGCAAUCCUGAGUAAAGUGGCGUACGGGUGAGUAACACGUGGGAAUCUACCUCUUGGCGGGGAAUAACCCUGGGAAACCGGGGCUAAUACCGCAUAAGCUCGUGAGAGGAAAGCAGCAAUGCACCGAGAGAGGAGCCCGCGGCCGAUUAGCUAGUUGGUGGGGUAAUGGCUCACCAAGGCGAAGAGCGGUAGCCGGCCUGAGAGGGCACACGGCCACACUGGCACUGAAACACGGGCCAGACUCCUACGGGAGGCAGCAGUGGGGAAUCUUGCACAAUGGGGGAAACCCUGAUGCAGCGACGCCGCGUGAGCGAUGAAGCCCUUCGGGGUGUAAAGCUCUUUCGACAGGAACGAUAAUGACGGUACCUGGAGAAGAAGCUGCGGCUAACUACGUG
rnacentral:rRNA from 1 species